CCUACGGGUGGCUGCAGUGAGGAAUAUUGGUCAAUGGACGAAAGUCUGAACCAGCCAUGCCGCGUGCAGGAAGACGGCUCUAUGAGUUGUAAACUGGUUUUGUACGAGGGUAAACGCAGAUACACGUAUCUGACGGCAAGUAUCGUACGAAUAAGGCUCGGCUAACUCCGCACCAGCAGCUGCGGUAAUACGGAGGAGUUAAGCGUUAUCCGGAUGUAUGGGGUUGAGAGGGUGCGUAGGGGGUCGGAUAAGUUAGAGGUGAAAUCCCGCGGCUCAACUUCGGAAUUGCUUCUGAUACUGUUCGGCUAGAGAGUAGUUGCGGUAGGCGGAAUGUAUGGUGUAGCGGUGAAAUGCUUAGAGAUCAUACAGAACACCGAUUGCGAAGGCAGCUUACCAAGCUACUUCUGACGUUGAGGCACGAAAGCGUGGGGAGCAAACAGGAUUAGAUACCCGGGUAGUC
rnacentral:rRNA from 1 species